rnacentral:lncRNA from 1 species
GUAGCCACAGGCCAGUUCUGUCUUUCUAGCCUUGGCUCUCAGGGAGAACUUUGCCCCAGGUCAGAUCCAAGAUCCUGACUUACCCAAGAAAGGGAGUUUAGAUGUCAUAUGCGGAGAGCUGGGAGCCAAAUGUACUUUGCCCUAAAGAGCACAGUUUUGUGUGAGGGAGAAACAUACAAGUUGUCAUAGAGAAAUACAGGACUGAGACUGGGGAUGGAUCAGAGAAGGCAUGCCAAGGGAGAUAAUGCUUGAGCUAGGUCUUGAAGAUUGCUGCAGGAAUGGUAAGCAGACAAAAGGCAGGCCAGAGAAUGAAACAGCACGUGAAAUGUGAAGGCAUGAGUACUGGUGUGUGUGUGCAGCUCAGUCGUGUGUGACUCUUUGCAACCCCGUGGACUAUAGCCCACCAGGCUUCUCUGUCUAAAGGAUUUUCCAGGCAAGAAUACUGGAGUGGGUUGCCAUUUUCUUUUCCAGGGGAUCUUCCCAACCGAAGGAUCAAACUCAAGUCUCUUGCAUCUCCACCAUGGACAGGCAGAUUUUUACCACUGGCGCCACUUGGGAAACCUGAGUACUGGAUGUAUCAUAUUUGCUAAAUGGAGCCCUAGAGAGUCAGUGCAUCUUCAAUGAUUUUGCCAGUUGCUGGCAGAGCCCUGGAGAUGCAAAGGUGAGGGGCAACAGUCGCUGGCCUGGAGGACAUCACAGUCUGUGAUCUGUGGCCGUCACUCCACUUCCCUCUCCACACUCUGCUCCGGAAUUUUCCAAACACAGAACCAGGAAGGUUUUUCAAGUCCACAGUGACUCAUAACCUCAUUUAGCAAAAGAGGUCACAGGAAUUCAGAGAGGGAAAGUCAUUUAUCUAAGAUUACAUCGCAUGAGAGGGGCUGGUUCAUACAGUGGCACCCUUUGAACAUUAUCCCUAACUGCUGUCUCCAUCAUAAAUACAUCAUUUAAGAAGAGUUCGAGGGACUUUGCUGGCUGUCAGUGGUUAAGACCCUACACAUGGGUUCAGUCCCUG